rnacentral:lncRNA from 1 species
UCGAUGUGUAUGUGAUUUAGAAUCCCAUACAAAAGAAGUAAAUCCUGCUUAGAGCAUUNAGCAUGGUUAGUUGCUCUAGGACAUAAAAUCCAAACAAUCAAGUAGUGAAUCAUCCUUUCUUCAAUUUUGAAACCACCAACCAGUAAUUGCCUUGUAUUUGUUUGUCGUUCAGGAUGACGCAGGAAGGAUUGAAAAGUCAUCAUCCUGUUGAAAUCUUCAAGUCCUAAAUGGACUUUGACAGCAUCAUCCCANAUGGGAAGUUGAGCAACAUUGGUCCACAUGUCAUCAUCUAAGAUAAUGCGUACGCCCUUGACCUUAGUGGAUAUUAUCCCAUCUCGAUAGCGCAAGUUGAAGUAGAAGACUCUUAUAAGAUCGGGAUAAAUGCAUCCUUUUUGCUCCACCAGAUGCGUUAGU